UACGUAGGGUGCAAGCGUUGUCCGGAAUUAUUGGGCGUAAAGAGCUCGUAGGCGGUGUGUCGCGUCGGCCGUGAAAACCUGCAGCUUAACUGUGGGCUUGCGGUCGAUACGGGCAUGACUGGAGUUCGGCAGGGGAGACUGGAAUUCCUGGUGUAGCGGUGAAAUGCGCAGAUAAUCAGGAGGAACACCGGUGGCGAGGGCGGGUCUCUGGGCCGAUACUGACGCUGAGGAGCGAAAGCGUGGGGAGCGAACAGGA
rnacentral:rRNA from 1 species